CAGUCGACCGGUACUAUAGACUACUGGCAAUUCAAGUCGAAUCGAAACAUUUCGAACUAUUUUCGUUUGGAACAUAUAAGUCAACAAUGGAUUGUCACAGCAAUGUUGUACCACGUACACCGCCGCCGCCGUAUAGUUCCAUGAGGCCACCACAGUAUCUAUAUUUAUCUCAACGAAGUGAUCGAGAUCAAGCAGAAAUAAUUGAUGUUCAGUCAAAUUUGCCAUUGUGUUUUAAUGAGUUCCUUGAUUGUCUCGCGCAUUAAUGCAUGUUUGGGAUAUUUGACGCAGAUCGACCAUUUAAUGGUAAAAGAGCGGGUCCAUUUUCUGGCACCAAACGAUACAUUCACCGUCAAAAAUUCCGCCGGACAAAAUAUUUAUUGGGAGACUGAAGAGCCAAAUUGCUGUGCCCGAGGAAGUUUUGGCGCAUCUCGUCCGUUCGACGUGAAAGUAAUGAACAUUCAAAGCCACGAAGUGAUGCAUUUUUAUCGACGCAUCGGUGUUGGUUAUCGUGAUUAAAUCGAAGUAUCAGCACCUCUUGGUAAAGUAAUCGGACGCGUCAAAGAAGACUGGUCAUUUCUAAAUCAUAGCUUCACAGUUAAAAAUCAUGAAAAUACACCUGUUUUACGAAUCGAAGCGCCAUUCUUUAAAUCAAGUCUCUUUGGUGAUGCUGAAUUCAAAAUUCUUCUAAUGGAUGGCACUCAAAUUGGAAGAAUAUCCAAAAAAUUAUUAUUAGACAUUGAAGAAGACAUUAUUACGGUAUAACUUUCCCAUUGGAAUUGGAUGUUCGAAUGAAAGCUGUGCUGUUAGGCGCUUGUUUUAUGCUUAAUUCCAGAUUCUACGAAAGACUCUAAAGACGGAAGUGAUUUUUAUAGGCAAAAUAAUUCAAUUGUUAGGAAUUCUUCGCCUAAGCUAUUUUAACCAAAAUUCGAAGAAAAAAAUCAUUCAUUUUAAUUUAUUAGAAAUUCACAGGUUUAAGAAAAAA